GUACACACACUUCAACAGCACAAACACUAAUAUUCAAAGGGUACAGAGAAGACCAACCUGGCCCCCACACAAGGACGACAUACAAAUUUAAGUGUUUCAUGUGUUU
rnacentral:snRNA from 1 species